rnacentral:misc_RNA from 1 species
GAAACAAACAGCAAAUGUAGCUGACGCAUUGUAUGUUGCAUGGGAAAAGGGCAUUUGCAAUGUAUGGGUACCAUAUGUAAGUGAUGGAUGCUACAUGAAUUCCAUUGUUAGAAAAGAGAGUUCCAAUUUGAAAACCUAAGAGUUAAAAUAAUUAACUAUUUUCCAAUAAAGAAGGUAGGUUCUUUCAAAAAGAGAGCGUGCUUGGUAGUUAUCUGUGUUCUACUUCAGUAUAUUUUCUUAGCUUCCCACCUUCAAUCAAUUUGUAGAGAAACAUCUGCCACCCCUAAACCCCCAAUAA